UUGAUUUUACCGUUUCGAUAUCGAUUGGUCGAAAGUACGACAAACGGACGACAAACGCUCGACAUGCAUGACAUCUUUUUUCGCAUCAAUUUUUUGACAGAUUGACGAUUUGGCGAUGUCGACGAAAGUACUCUGACAAGCAAAAACAUGUUCUGACUGGAUCCAAGAAUUAGUUAUAAGUGUUGAAAAAAUACAAAAUCAAAUAGGAGCAAAACAAAAUGCCAUACGCCGAGUACCGGUCCAGCAGUGGAAACAUGGUUCGAUGCCAGGCAUGGCACCGAUCUUGUCAUUGUAAAUACUAGCAAUCACAUUUAUCAUCCGAUUUCGGUGGGUGGAUUAGAAGGCGGACGGAAAAUGUCAUGAACCCGGCGGGCUAUGCCGGAAAAUGGAGGGCAAGUAACCGGUCAGCGAUCGUGGAAGCAAUCCUCCUUGCAGAAGAGAAUGAAACGUCAAGUAAUAAAAAGGUAGAGGAGGACGAAAAAAAAACUCCCGGCUGCGAUCCUGAUCCGCCAAAAAUUGUUAUCAAUGGAACUGAGUGCUUUUUGCUGGACGUGGACCAGCAAGUAGAGAAGGACAAUGAAAUUGCGUUGGUGGUGUUGAACUUCUAGCGGAAUGGCAAAAGCGCCAUUAUCAAGAAAUCAUUCUUCUUCCUGGAGAUACUUUCGGUCGAGAAUAUACUCCAGGUGAAGGCGAUGGAGGGGGACAAAUUACAGCACUCGAACAUUGGCAGGGUAGACAAACAGAACCCUUCCCACAGCGGUUGGCCAUCGUCGAACCAAACGAAGUCGGUUUGUAUUUCCUUCUUUUAACAGACCUAGGAAAGUCCAGCGGAACCGAAGGCAACCGGAUUAGCCGCCAUUGAGCGAAAUUAGGAAAACUGUGGCUGCAGUGAUAGUGAAUAAUUCAAAACAAUGUGCCAGACUAGUGCAAACUAUUAAAAAUGAAUAAAAAUAAUCCAAAAGUUCAACAAAGUGAAUUUUAUUUUAAAAAUAACCUCAAAAUUCCGAAAUGACAGCACACGACAAAGGUACGACAUCCUAAAUAACAAAACCGUGCGACAUCCGUCGAAUGUCGUACGACAAUGUCGAGCGAUUUCGAUUAUCGAUCGUACGACAAAUACGACAUUUUGGUGCAAAAACGUCUGACAUUCGUGCGAAAGUCGCGCGACAUUGUCGUGCGACGUCGUACGAUUGCACGGACGACAAACGACGGACGUCCGA